rnacentral:rRNA from 1 species
UACAGAGGUCUCAAGCGUUUGUUCGGAUUCAUUGGGCGUAAAGAGCUCGUAGGCGGCUUGUCGCGUCGGAUGUGAAAGCCCGGGGCUUAACCCCGGGUCUGCAUUCGAUACGGGCAGGCUAGAGUUCGGUAGGGGGAGAUCGGAAUUCCUGGUGUAGCGGUGAAAUGCGCAGAUAUCAGGAGGAACACCGGUGGCGAAGGCGGGGUCUCUGGGCAGUAACUGACGCUGAGGAGCGAAAGCGUGGGGAGCGAUCCGG